AUCGCUUCUCGGCCUUUUGGCUAAGAUCAAGUGUAGUAUCUGUUCUUAUCAGUUUAAUAUCUGAUACGUCCUCUAUCCGCGGACAAAUAUUAAAUGGAUUUUUGGAGCGGGAGAUGGAAAUAGGAGCUGCUCGUCCAAACUCCGCGCAUGACCUGGUCUUGCAGUACCUCCAGGAACGGUGCACCCCCU
rnacentral:snRNA from 1 species